AUUGAACGCUGGCGGCAGGCCUAACACAUGCAAGUCGAGCGAGCGGCGGAAGGGUGAGUAAUGUCUGGGCAACUGCCUGAUGGAGGGGGAUAACUACUGGUAACGGUAGCUAAUACCACAUACCAACAGCGGUGCCCAGAUGGGAUGAGAUAGUAGGUGGGGUAACGGCUCACCUAGGCGACGAUCCAUAGCCGGUCGUAGAGGAUGACCAGACACACUGGAACUGAGACACGGUCCAGACUCCUACGGGAGGCAGCAGUGGGGAAGAGUGCACAAUGGGCGCAAGUCUGAGGCAGCCAUGCCGCUGGUGUGAAGAAGUCUUUCGGGUUGUAAAGCUCUUUCAGCGGGGAGGCGUUACCCGAAGAAGAAGCACCGGCUAACUCCGUGCCAGCAGCCGCGGUAAUAC
rnacentral:rRNA from 1 species